UACGUAGGGUGCAAGCGUUAUCCGGAAUUACUGGGCGUAAAGCGCACGUAGGCGGCUUCUUAAGUCGGUGGUGAAAUCCUGGAGCUCAACUCCAGAACUGCCUUCGAUACUGGGAGCUCGAGUCCGGGAGAGGUGAGUGGAACUGCGAGUGUAGAGGUGAAAUUCGUAGAUAUUUCGCAAGAACACCAGUGGCGAAGGCGGCUCACUGGCCCGGUACUGACGCUGAGGUGCGAAAGCG
rnacentral:rRNA from 1 species